AGCGGCAGCCAGCGCCGCCCAGCGCCCGGCCCCGGGGUCGCCGCGAAUGACUGCGUUGCCAGCCCCGUUGUGACGCAGGUGGCGGUGCCAGGGAACUUCCUCCCCUGCAGAGGCCACCCCGCGCUCGGCCGGCCAGCGGGCCUCCACAGUCUCAGUCCGGGACGUGGGAGGAGUCCUCCCGCCUCCCAGCCUCGCACCUGGCGGCUGUGACGGGGACCCCGCCGCGGGUAGCGGGGCCUCCGCUCCACCCGAGCACCGCGCGGAGAGCCGAGGCGCGUCUGCUCCGCUACCACAGCUCCUCCCCUGGUUUCAGGAUGAAAAGGCAAACUGACUUCUUGAAAGCUUGCAUCUCCAGCCGGUGUGGAAAAUCUUCCCGGUGGUGGAAAUAUAGACAAGAUUACGAUGUAAGAGUGUUCUGGGACUACCUCGUCAAUAUCAGCUAUUCAGAAAGCGCCAAAGAUUAAACUAUUGCUCUAGUUUAAUCCUAGUCCUGGCAGGCUAGGAGAGCCAGAUGAGCACAUCCAAGGUCCCCACCACUCCUUCAUAAAUCUGUGAUCUACAGGAGAGGAAGGGCCUUGUACUCCAAAAUGAACAAACAUGGAAAGACUGAAAGGUAAAAAUGGACAAUCUUCACUUAAAGCCAAAAGAGGCAGCCAUCUGAAGACAAGAGGAGUGAAUGUUUUUAUUCUGAGGAACCAGUGGGGUAGGUCAUUUAAGAUUAGGACAGGGACCCUGAAGGUCAAUUAAAAAGUAAACUACUAAGAUCUUUUGGGUUACUUGAGUUUUUAAUGUUUAAAAUAAAAAGUUCUAUAAAUCACAUAGGACCUACUGUAUCACCAUUGUUGGGAUAUCAUUAGGGAGUAGUUUUAACUCUUCAAAUAGGCUUAAGUCCCCUUUCCACUCUGUAGUAUUUUCUAAUGGAGUGAAACUGUAAUUAGGUUUCAAUCUUCCUUCCACAUCACUCAAGCCUGCCCUCUCCAUUUCCAUGAGUGCUGCACAAGUCUUACUGUCAUCAUCUCAUGCCUGCACAGUGACCAUGGCCUCCUUCCCAGGUUCCCCAUGGCUUAGCUUCCUCCGGUCCACCCUCCACACAAUAGCAUGAUUUAGUUCCCAAAAAUACCACUUUCAGCAUAUGUAUUAUGAAUGAUUGGCCCAGAGUAGCUGCUCAUUAAGCAAUUUCCACCUGCUUAAAAUGACUCUGUACUGCCCAAAGGAAAAGCUUAAACGCAAAUCCUCAAUUGUUUAUAAACUUAAUAGAAGAACGUGGUAAAAUAAAGAAUAAUGAUCUUUUCCCCCUAGUUCCUAGUACAAAUUUCCUAAAGUCCUCCAAAAUUCUCAAUAGGAGUAUCUCUGUUUGCUAAUGGGGCAACUGAUGGUGGACUCCAAAUAAUUUCAGGUUGGGGGCUGGUCUGCAGAAAGACCAAAUACAUUAUUAGAGUGUUAGAACUUUGCACCAGUCUGAUCUGAGUUACAACUCAACCAGCUGGAAGGGAAAUGGGCUAGAGACCUCAUUCAGUUAUGUGGCUAAUGAUUUAAUCAGUUAUGUACUUGUAAAUGAAAUCCCAAUAAAAACUCUGAACAUUGUGGUUUAGUGGAAAUCUCUGAUGGGUGAACAAAAAUUCUGUGAUCCUAGGAGGGCCUGGAAUAAAUCAGGUUUUUCAUUGUAGCUAUGCUGUACAAAAUCAUGCUUUGGUGACUUACUCUGUAGUUUCCAGUGAUAGCUACUUAAUAUUGACUGUGUUUUCCAUCCCAACUCGUUUCUGACAUCAAGUACUCAGCAUGGCACUGACUCCUCAGGUUAGGUGCUUUGUCCUGAAGAUGUGUUUUCUUACCACCAGGAAGCCUGAGCCUGAGCCCUGACCUUACACGACAUGUCUAUUUGGCUUUUCUUGAAAUGUGUCCUCUCCUAAUAAAAAUGUGAAUGUAAGUAUAGUACUUUUAUGAAUUCUGUGACUCAUUUUAGUGAAUUGUUAAACCUGAGGGGGUCAUGGUAACCCCACAGUGGCAAGGUGGGCAUAGUGUGGGUGGCCUGGGGACUCCUGAGACUUGCUUGGCUGGGAUCUGAAGUGAGGGGAGUCUCAUGGAGGUCUCUGCCUUUAACCUGAGGAACUUGUGUCAGCUCUAGUGUCAGAAUUGAUGUGGAGUGAAAAAAAGACAACAUUAAGUA
rnacentral:lncRNA from 1 species